rnacentral:rRNA from 1 species
GACGAACACUGGCGGCGUGCUUAACACAUGCAAGUGGAGCGACGAACCAGGCUUCGGCCUGGGGCAAAGCCGCGAACGGGUGAGUAACACGUGGGUAACCUGCCCCGAUGACUGGGACAACCCGAGGAAACUCGGGCUAAUACCGGAUGUACUUACAUCACACAAGUGAUGCAAGCAAAGAUAGCUUCGGCCUUCGCAUCGGGAUGGGCCCGCGGCCCAUUAGCUUGUUGGUGGGGAACGGCCUACCAAGGCAACGAUGGGUAGCUGGUCUGAGAGGACGAUCAGCCACACUGGGACUGAGACACGGCCAGACUCCUACGGGAGCAGCAGUGGGGAAUCUUGCGCAAUGCGCGAAAGCGUGACGCAGCAACGCCGCGUGGGGGAAGAAGGCUUUC